rnacentral:lncRNA from 1 species
AGCAAUUCAAUUGGUGAAACCAGUGGUUGAUCGUGGAUUAGUGGUAUAGGUCUCGCCGGUGUGAUUAAGACUGGUGGUCGAACUGGUGGUGUUGGAGUUCUUGGACUUGGGUUUUCCCAGUGCUUUGGUGGUGGUGGUGGUGGUGGAGGUGGCGGAAUUCUGGCUGGCGGAGGUGAGUUUUGUUCACUUGAUGAAUCUGAUAGUCUGGGAGAAGACUCUAGGCUGUCUUUGCUUAAUCGGAUAUCUGGAGGAGGGAUUACCAGAGGCUGAGGCGGCGGCGGUGGUGGUGGUGGUGGAGGAGCUAAGCGAGUCGGCGGCGGAGCAGUUUGAAUUGCAUCAAGGUCCGGUGAUUUCGGCCUUGAUCUUAUUGGACUCAAGCUAACCGGCGGCGAAAUACUAAGAGAAACAGACCUUGCCGGAGAACCCGAACUUGAAGAUGAGCAUGAUGACGAAGAACCGGACCCAAUUAUUC